UAAUAAGUGUUUUAUGGCACUUUUUAAAAUCCAUAUCCACCUUGUGUGCAAUGUCAGUCGAUCUUCUUUCAUGGAGAUCGACCAAACAUCAACCUUUAUCUUUUAACUCUUUGUCUGAAAAAUAUUAUGAAUAAACAAUUCAAAAUA
rnacentral:misc_RNA from 1 species